rnacentral:rRNA from 1 species
CCUACGGGAGGCAGCAGUGGGGGAUAUUGCACAAUGGUGGAAACCCUGAUGCAGCGACGCCGCGUGGGUGAAGAAGCGCCUCGGCGCGUACAGCCCUGUCAGCAGGGAAGAAAAUGACGGUACCUGAAGAAGAAGCCCCGGCUAACUACGUGCCAGCAGCCGCGGUAAUACGUAGGGGGCAAGCGUUAUCCGGAUUUACUGGGUGUAAAGGGGGCGCAGACGGCGAUGCAAGCCAGGAGUGAAAGCCCGGGGCCCAACCCCGGGACUGCUCUUGGAACUGCGUGGCUAGAGUGCAGGAGGGGCAGGCGGAAUUCCGUGUGGAGCGGUGAAAUGCGUAGAUAUCAGGAGGAACACCGGUGGCGAAGGCGGCCUGCUGGACUGCAACUGACGUUGAGGCCCGAAAGCGUGGGGAGCAAACAGGAUUAGAUACCCCAGUAGUC